GCCUGGUAUGGGACUUGUUGCUGCAGUCAUUCUGCUUUGGACAUGCCAGUUACACAAACAGAGAAAGGGAUAGGUGUUGCUUCUUUUGGACUGUGUGAAAGUGGUGCUGGCAGCACAGAGAGACAUGAGCUGAAGUAACUUUCUUCCUUUAGAAGAAUAAAAAUUUGAAAAUAAUAAAGAUCUGGAUUGCAUCUAGAGCAUUUCUCCUGACAGCUGAGAAGGAACAAAUUUCCAAGGGCUCAGGUUUUUUUCAGAAGCACCCAGAAGUCUGGCACCUUAGCCUGACCCUAUGGGAAAGUUCAUGCUUGACUCCAUAAGCUGACCUGGUUGGUUCAGACACCUGGUCUGACAGCUAUGCUUCCACCACCCAGUGGGGAAGGCAACUUUCAGACUGAAACUGGUCAGAGCCAACUGCUCGCUCAUCCCUCCUGUUCCACCAGCACAGCUGUACUGGGACAGACCAGAGGUCUGCCUGCGCCAGCAUCUUGUUUCUGAUGGAGGCCAAACGUUUAUAUGUAUAUAUAAACAUACAUAUAGGACAAUAAAGUAAGUAUGAACUGAUUUUGCUUUGCUGACUUUUCCAAGCCACGUCAUUGUCUUAAAAUAUGCUCUGUUCUUACAGUCUUCUGGCUCUUGUCUUUCCUUUGUAUCUUCUGAACAGAAGGAAAGGGAAAUGUUCUAAUCUCCUCUUAAUCCAACCAAAUACUUGUAAAACUAAAAGAGGAUGUAUGACCAGAAUGAAUGUUUUAGACCUAGAUGAGCGGUUUGAGCAAUUUGUGUUGUUGCUCUUUGCUAAUUCCUGUGUAGCAGUUGGGGGAAUGGCUAGCACUGGUAGUCACACACCUGUAACAGAGACAGCAGCAGUCAGCAAGAGUAGCUGUAGGGAAAUAAUUUGAGCAUGAAGGGAUAGAUGUUUGCUACUGAGAAGUGUCUCCAGUACACCAUACGCGUAAGCUUGUACCUGGAAUUGGAAAAAAUAACUGUGUGUGUCUGUCUGUCACAGGAAGCCCUCUCUGCACAGUUUGGCCAGGCCCCAUGCGCUGCUCACCUACACAUCCAGUUUACCCAGAACAGUGCUGUAGAGUGCCCCUCAUUGCUGUCACAGUGCAGACACUUGCUGUGUUCUGUACAAUUGGCAUGUUGCAAAAUACAUUAGCACUUGAGGGUAAGUGAAUUCCCUUCCAGCCAGGUUCUGCUUUGAAACUCAUGCUUUUUAGCACUUCUGAAAAAUACUUGGCUACAUCGUUCUCUUGGCUCCCCUCCCUUCUCCAGGGUAGAUCACAAUACUUCAACAGAGCUGAAAUAGCUGUAAUUGGGCAUAACAUUGUGUCUAAUGCUGUUUGCUAACGUGCUUGGAUGUGACCUCUUCUAGUCAGGAUAAGGCCACAGUGAGAAUGAAGUUUAAUAUUGAAGUAGAAUUGUACAAAUUUAGAGAAGACAACCACUCUAGGUCAUUUUGUCCUACGCUUUCAUCCAGGCAGGACUGAAUGUAACUGAUUUCUAUUCUUGAAAGGCUGCUUGACAUUUCUGUCUUCUGCAGCGGUUAGACUCCGGUUUGUACUCGCCUGCUGAUGCAACAGCUUUUGCUCAGUUUGAAAGCAACGGAAAGAAUAGCGAGGAGUCCUUGAUAUGCAUCUAAGCAAUAACUUCCUCUUGCAAGCAAACCUUGCUGGCAUAGGUCAGUACAUCAGCACUCUGAACUGAGUCUUGUAGAUGAGUAGUGUUUAAAAUUCAUACAGCUUUUAAUAUGCCCUGGGCCAGCCAAUUUUCAAUUACACCAAUGCCUGCGCCUUCUCUUUGAUGUGCAGUGGUUAACCCUUUUGAUGAGCUCUCACCUGUGCCAGUGAUGGUGUGUGCCUGCCAGGAGCAGAUCAGUGUACACCGACACGCUUCCCAAGGCAUGGAGCACUUGCACUCAGCUAUUUCCUUUUUGUUACAGUUACUGUUUUAAAUGUCAUUAGUGAGGGGUGAAAGUAUUGUUUUUCUGAGGGGGGUUGGUGGGAUUUGUCACAGUCUAGGGCACGGCAAGGUGUUUUUUCUUCUAUUCUUCUGCCAUGUGUGAGUGAUACUUGGGCAUUUCCCCUUCCCCCUGAGAACCAUCCAGCUGAGGGGAGCUGUCAGCUUCUUGCUGGGCACUGGCAGCAGCUGUUGGGCUGUGGGCAUAUUUAUCUUCAUGGGAUGCCCCUGUCACUCUGUCUGUCCUGUUGCUUGCACUACAUUGUAUUUUUCCUUAUUAAAAAGAGCUGUUGCAUAUUCUUCUAGGAUCUGGUGUUGCCGCUGUUUGACAGUGUAAAUAGUUAGAAGGGUCUGCAGAAAAGGCUGUCAGAUGGGUUAAGCUAAUGAUCCCUUAGUUAUGAUCCCUAGCAAUCUUGACUUUAUUUGGCAGGAAAAGUAAUUUAAGGAGUGAACUGCUUAUUAAAAUGACCUCUACCGCAUGUGUCUGUGCUCAGUAAUUGAUACAGAUUAGCCAUGAGUUAGUGUAGCUUUUGAUAAUGGAUUAAUCUUGGAAAGCUGAAGACUUUUUUUUUUUUUUCCUUGGGAGCAGCAGAGAACAAGAGUCUAUGGUUGUUGGAGGCUUCUGUGUCUGUCCUGUGCAACAUCCCCUUACUACAGCUCCUUAAAGGGUGAGUGCGUUCAAAAUCUCUGAAAGAGAUAUUGCACUCUGCAAUGGUACAUUUCAGCAGAAAAUGCCUUCAGAGCAGGGACAUGAAAACAACAGUUAUAAGCACAAAGCAGCUGUGAGAUUUAGAACUAACAGGUGAUUAAUUGCAUUUUAUUCUAUAUUGUACUUGGAAGAAUGCCAGGGCAAGCAUGCAUACAUUGUCCAAGGAGCUUGCAGCAGCAGUUGUGUAUGUUAAGGGAACAGCCUUAAGAUAUUUCACUAAUUCAGUUUCAGUGUUGAUGUUCUCGGGAAUGCAUGCAUGUACCAGCAGAGGGCAUGCAGACUUCGUUCAACAGGGACAUGUGCUAAUUAAUAAAUCUCAGAUGUAGGUAGGUGUCUACCUGCAUCCACAUUUGCAGACAAAGCGCUCAUUCAGCCGUGCAGGAGCUGCCCACUCCAGCAGACUUGUAUUAUCUGAAACAGGCAGGAAGCGAGGGGGUAUGAAGCACAUGUUUGGAAUUACAUAAUCCGUCAUCAAACUGUGAUCAUGUUUCAUGUUCAUGCUUAGUCAGACUGUGGCAGUGAUUAGGGUUGACUAAACAGUUACCGUACCUCAUUUUUUCCAUUGUGCGGCAUCUGCUAGCUCUGUUGAUCAUUAAGGUCUCAAUCUAGGCAAGUGACUUGUAUUGUGGAUCAGACCCACAAUGAACCGGAGGAAAUCAGGGGGAGAGAGUCAGCAGUUUUUACAAUAUAUUAACAGAGGGUUAUUGGGAAAUGUGAACUUAAAAGGAAGGCUAUCUGCAUUUUAGAAACAAAAUCAAAGAUAAACAGUACAGCAGAAUCUUCUGUUUUAUCCUGCCCGAUGCACUCGCAGUACAUUCAUAAUCUUCAUAAAGGAGAAAAUUAAUUGGUGAAAUAGGCUGUUUUAUGAUAAUAUCCCAUAUGUUAUCAGAUUCAUGCAGGCAGAAUCACGCUAAUGAAGAGAAAUUGCAGUUUAUGUAGGGCUUGCAGGCCUCGCUCAGGCAGAUUAACAGUGGCUAGGGUAAGAGGCAGCACACUGCCUUGGCAGGCUGCCCGAGAGCUAAUCAAUGCAGAUGGAGUCAAAGGGACUGCCAGUCUGAUUCCCAACAGUUUCAUCUCAGAACAGGAAUGACUGCAUCCAUCAGUGCUCCUUGAUAAGACAUCCUUUAAGCUCGUGGUAAGAAUGAACCCAUUCGGGGAGGCAGAGGCUGAGCGAUACUAAAAGCGAUGACUCCACAUGCGGUGCAGGGUAGAGGUGGGUGUUUAAUUUUAGCUGCUGACCUGAUUUCAUGCUGAAUGACAAGUAUCUAUAGGAAUCCUCAAGGGCCAAUCAGUUGCUAUGUUAGUGAAGCUUUUGGAGAAAUGCAUUUAAUUUUAUACAAGUGGUGUCUUUAAGGAAGCAAUUAUGAUUUCUGACUGCUUCAGGUUGAUUUCGGCUAGAGCUAAGCUGAAAUUCUUCCAUGUUCCAUGUUGAUGAAACUGGAGUCUAACUCUGUUGUAUACUUAACAUGGCACACGCUAGUGUUUUGAAAUGCCCUCUUUUUCCUAUGUGGCAUUCAAUUUUUUCACCAACUGAGAAGUAAAUGCAGUGCAGAACCAAAAUGAUCAAAGUCCUUUUGCCAUUUGCAUGCACAUCCUGAAAUGAAGUUUAGAAAAUGAAGCAACUGUGGAGCCUCAUCACUGAGGGAAGUCCUUUGCAGAGGGUUCUCCUUUGUGGCUUUGUACUUGAGGAAAGUGUACUUGUGUUGACCCAGGAGAGGGCUUUCGUUUUUCAAGAGGAAGGCUAGACAACGUCUCUCAGUCCACAGACUGAGUUGGAGAAAAAAAGUGAGAGUUGAGCCCACACAGGGGGCAGAUGCUUCACUUUUCAAAUGGUGAUGAAUCCUGGCCACUACGAGCAUUAGUCAUGGGAUUAUUUCCCUUGGUGUUGUGUGCUUCUAAUCAAAAAGGAAGGCUGCUUUCAGCCAGGAGCUAAGCAUCAAAUUGUCUGCUAUUAUUCAAUGUUUAAGUAUGAAGCAGUGGGGCUUUUACUGCUGCUAAUUUUGUGGCAGCAUACUCAGUUGUUCUGUCCAUACCCAAUUCUGCUGCUGGUGUUGGCUUAAAGAAGUAGGGUUUGGAUCCAGGUUUGGUUCAUGCCCAUCUUUCCAUAGUCGUAUUGAUUGAUCUAAAAAUUUGUUUGAAGAUCACUUUGCAUUAUUCCCCCUCUGCUUUUGACUUCAGUGAAAAAUGCAUGGGCCCAAAUGCCAGGCGUUGUGGAUGGCAUUUGUUCUUCUUGUGGCUAGCUGCUGCCUGGAACCUCAUCUGCACGUUUGUAUUGGCUUUUUAUUUGCAGUUGUUUCUGAAUCUGUGCGGUGAUUACUUUGUUGACAAAUGUUUUUUCCCUUGAAUAAGAUACAGUGACGAGAUGUUCUGAAUGUCCCAGAAGGGCUCUGGCAUUUGUCCUCGGGACAAUGAAAAACACCCUGGCAUUUUCUGCCUUCUGUGAAUCUGCCUUUCAUUUGUGUAUUGUAUGGAUUCUUCUAAGGAUACGGAAAGAAAAAUGUUAAAAUACGGUCAUUCCAGGAAAAGUGACGGCUCAGAAAAGCCUUUUACUCAGCAUACCUGCAGUUUUGGGGUAUUGCAAUUCAUACUUAUUUGCUUCAGUAAGUAAAUGUGUUUUUUUUUUGUUUGUUUUUUUUUUUUUUUUUUAACCACAGUUUGAAGCUGACACAGCAAAAAGAGAAGGAUAGGUUUGAUUCCACUUGCUUUGUUUUGACUGAGUUCCCAUCCCUUGCACCCAUGCAAAUGGUUUGAGGCUCUGAGGUUGCACGAACAAUGCAGACAGUACAAUAGAAGGACAAUGGGGUUUUCACACGGGUAUAGUGGGAGCUGUGGGAUGUUUCCUCAACUGGUGAUGUGUGGGGAGAAAAGUGCUUAAUCUGUCUUCGGUUUGAGCUUGAGUCUGCAGGGCUGGCACCUAAGGGAGAGGAAUAUCCCUCUCCCUGUUGUUGGUGUGCUAACUAGUCUGGAAAUGGAAUCAUGAUUGAAAUGCAGAGAAAUGCGGCAUCCUGGGAUGCUAGGAUUGGUCCAUCUUCAGAAGGGGAAAGAAGCUCAACAUUUUUUGUACUUUAUAUAAUCUCUUAAUCAGAGCUCUCAUGAAACAAAAGCCUCCCAAAAGCAUAAAAGCAUCCUUUCUUUAACAGUUACGGUCCAAAAAAAAAAAAGAAAAAAAAAAAAAAGAAAAAGCC